AAGGGGAAGGUAAAAAUAGAAAAUCUUUCGUUUAGUAUCCUAAUCAUUGUAGAAAGGGUUGAUUACACGUAUUGUUAAUAACGUAUUCGUUUAGGCAAAACUAAAGUGUUAAAAUAAAAAUGAAUAACCAUGAACAAGUCGGUUUAACCAUUGGCUGUCUGAAUAACCAUGAAAAAGUCGGUUUAACCUUUGGCUGUAUGUCUAUAUUAGUUGACAUUUUGGGGAUUGCUAUUCCGUUUUGGUCGUACAAUGGCGCGGGCGGUAACAGUGGCCUUUGGUUGUUUUGUGGAUCAACACCAUUAUUGGGCGGCUAUACAUGUCUUCCUUACAUUACAGUUUCCGUAGAUUUGAAGGCAGUGCGCGGAAUAAUGAUUGUGGGGCUGCUCGUCAUGAUCGCCCCUGUCGUCAUCUUCCUGCUGAAGAAGUUCCUCCUGAAGGACAUGGCCAUCUUGUUCAAAGUUAUCUCUUAUGUCACCGGAUUCGCAAUGACGCUGAACGUGUUCGGAGUUGUGAUAUACGGAAUCGACAAGAAUUUAAAUGUGCCCGGUACUCAUCUGCACAUAGGGUUUGCUCUGUGCAUCGUUGCGGCUGUGUUCUGCUUUGUGGGCGGGGUGUUCAUGGCGAUCGACAAGGACGCAGUACAACCUAAAUGUGAGGAUGUAUGCCCAAUAAAGAAGUGCCCACUUUUUUGAAUGCACCCAAACUUUG